CCUACGGGAGGCAGCAGUAGGGAAUAUUGCUCAAUGGGGGAAACCCUGAAGCAGCAACGCCGCGUGGAGGAUGAAGGUUUUCGGAUUGUUAACCCCUUUUUUUAGAGAAGAAAAUGACGGUACCUAACGAAUAAGCACCGGUUAAUUCCGUGCCAGCAGCCGCGGUAAUACGGCGGGUGCAAGCGUUACUCGGAAUCACUGGGCGUAAAGGGCGCGUAGGUGGGAUAGCAAGUCAGAUGUGAAAUCCUAUGGCUUAACCAUAGAACUGCAGUUGAAACUGUUGUUCUAGAGUAUGGGAGAGGUAGGUGGAAUUCUUGGUGUAGGGGUAAAAUCCGUAGAGAUCAAGAAGAAUACUGAUUGCGAAGGCGGCCUGCUAGAACAUAACUGACGCUGAUGCGCGAAAGCGUGGGGAGCAAACAGGAUUAGAUACCCGGGUAGUC
rnacentral:rRNA from 1 species